rnacentral:rRNA from 1 species
ACUCAAAGGAAUUGACGGGGGCCCGCACAAGCGGUGGAGUAUGUGGUUUAAUUCGAAGCAACGCGAAGAACCUUACCAGGGCUUGACAUCCCGAUGACCGCUCUAGAGAUAGGGUUUUCUCUUCGGAGACAUCGGUGACAGGUGGUGCAUGGUUGUCGUCAGCUCGUGUCGUGAGAUGUUGGGUUAAGUCCCGCAACGAGCGCAACCCUUAUCCUUAGUAGCCAGCAGGUAAAGCCGGGCACUCUAGGGAGACUGCCGGGGACAACCCGGAGGAAGGCAGGGAUGACGUCAAAUCAUCAUGCCCCUUAUGGCCGGGGCUACACACGUGCUACAAUGGCGCAGACAGAGGGAGGCGACCCUGUGAAGGCAAGCAAAUCCCGGAAAGAGCGCCCCAGUUCGGAUUGUAGUCUGCAACCCGACUACAUGAAGCCGGAAUCGCUAGUAAUCGCGGAUCAGAAUGCCGCGGUGAAUACGUUCCCGGGUCUUGCACACACCGCCCGUCA